rnacentral:rRNA from 1 species
GACGAACGCUGGCGGCGUGCUUAACACAUGCAAGUCGAACGGAAAGGCCCUGCUUUUGUGUUGUGCUCGAGUGGCGAACGGGUGAGUAACACGUGAGUAACCUGCCCUUGACUUUGGGAUAACUUCAGGAAACUGGGGCUAAUACCGGAUAGGAGCUCCUGCUGCUUGGUGGGGGUUGGAAAGUUUCGGCGGUUGGGGAUGGACUCGCGGCUUAUCAGCUUGUUGGUGGGGUAGUGGCUUACCAAGGCUUUGACGGGUAGCCGGCCUGAGAGGGUGACCGGCCACAUUGGGACUGAGAUACGGCCCAGACUCCUACGGGAGGCAGCAGUGGGGAAUAUUGCACGAUGGGCGGAAGCCUGAUGCAGCAACGCCGCGUGCGGGAUGACGGCCUUCGGGUUGUAAACCGCUUUCGCCUGUGACGAAGCGUGAGUGACGGUAAUGGGUAAAGAAGCACCGGCUAACUACGUG